GCAGGACUGAGUACACUAACACCAGACAGAGAACUAGGUGGAGAGGUGGAAUUAGAACCUUUACCGGGGCAAGAUGGAGCACACUAACACCAGACAGAGAACCAGGUGGAGAGGUGAAAUUGGAACCUUUACCGGGGCAGGAUGGAGCACACUAACACUAGACAGAGAACCAGGUAGAGAGAUGGAACUAGAACUUUUACCGGGGCAGGACUGAGUACACUAACACCAGACAGAGAACUAGGUGGAGAGGUGGAAUUAGAACCUUUACCGGGGCAGGACUGAGUACACUAACACCAGACAGAGAAUCAGGUGGAGAGGUGGAAUUAGAACCUUUACCGGGGCAGGACGGAGUACUAACACCAGACAGAGAACCAGGUGGAGAGGUGGAAUUAGAACCUUUACUGGGGCAGGACUGAGUACACUAACACUAGACAGAGAACCAGGUGGAGAGAUGGAAUUAGAACCUUUGCCGGGGCAGGAUGGAGCACACUAACACCAGACAGAGAACCAGGUGGAGAGAUGGAAUUAGAACCUUUGCCGGGGCAGGAUGGAGCACACUAACACCAGACAGAGAACCAGGUGGAGAGAUGGAAUUAGAACCUUUGCCGGGGCAUUAUGGAGCACACUAGCAUCAGGCAGAUAACCAGGUGGAGAGAUGAAACUAGAACCUUUGCCGGGGCAGGAUAGAGCACACCAACACCACACAGAAAACCAGGUGGAGAGGUGGAUUUAUAACGUUUACUAGGGCAGGAUGGAGCACACUAACACCAGACAGAGAACCAGGUGGAGAGGUGAAAUUGGAACCCUUACCGGGGCAGGAUGGAGCACACUAAUACCAGACAGAGAACCAGGUGGAGAGGUGAUAUUAGAACCUUUACCGGGGCAGGACUGAGUACACUAACAGCAGUCAGAGAACCAGGUGGAGAAGUGGAAUUAGAACCUUUACCGGAGCAGGAUGGAGCACACUAACACUAGACAGACAACCAGGUGGAGAGAUGGAAUUAGAACCUUUACCGGGGCAGGCCUGAGUACGCUAAUACCAGACAGAGAACCAGGUGGAGAGACGGAAUUAGAACCUUUACCGGGGCAGGCCUGAGUACACUAACACCAGACAGAGAACCAGGUGGAGAGAUGAGAUUAGAACCUUUACUGGGACAGGAUGGAGCACACUAACACCAGACAGGGAACCAGGUGGAGAAAUGAAAUUAGAACCUUUACCGGGGCAGGAUGGAGCACACUAACACCACACAGAGAACCAGGUGGAAAUAUGAAAUUAGAACCUUUACCGGGGCAGGAUGGAGCACAAUAACACCACACAGAGAACCAGGUGGAAAGAUGAAAUUAGAACCUUUACCGGGGUAGGAUGGAGUACGCUAACACCAGACAGAGAACCAGGUGGAGAGGUGGAAUUAGAACAUUUACCUGGGCAGGACUGAGUACACUAACACCAGAUAGAGAACCAGGUGGAGAGGUGGAAUUGGAACCUUUACCGGGGCAGGACUGAGUACACUAACACCAGACAG